CCUACGGGUGGCUGCAGUGGGGAAUAUUGGGCAAUGGGCGCAAGCCUGACCCAGCAACGCCGCGUGAAGGAAGAAGGCUUUCGGGUUGUAAACUUCUUUUCUCAGGGACGAAGAAAGUUACGGUACCUGAGGAAUAAGCUACGGCUAACUACGUGACAGCAGCCGCGGUAAUACGUAGGUGGCAAGCGUUAUCCGGAGUUAUUGGGUGUAAAGGGCGUGUAGGCGGGGGCGAAAGUCAGAUGUGAAAACUCAGGGCUCAACCCUGAGCCUGCAUUUGAAACUGGGUUGCUUGAGUGCUGUAGAGGCAAGCGGAAUUCCGUGUGUAGCGGUGAAAUGCGUAGAUAUACGGAGGAAGACCAGAGGCGAAGGCGGAUUGCUGGACAGUAACUGACGCUGAGGCGCGAAAGCGUGGGGAGCAAACAGGAUUAGAUACCCCAGUAGUC
rnacentral:rRNA from 1 species